GAGGAAUAUUGGUCAAUGGCCGGAAGGCUGAACCAGCCAAGUCGCGUGAGGGAAUAAGGCCCUAUGGGUCGUAAACCUCUUUUGUCAGGGAGCAAAGGCGUCCACGUGUGGACUAAAUGAGAGUACCUGAAGAAAAAGCAUCGGCUAACUCCGUGCCAGCAGCCGCGGUAAUACGGAGGAUGCGAGCGUUAUCCGGAUUUAUUGGGUUUAAAGGGUGCGUAGGCGGAGUGUCAAGUCAGCGGUAAAAUUUCGGAGCUCAACCCCGUCGUGCCGUUGAAACUGACACUCUUGAGUGAGUGAGAAGUAAGCGGAAUGCGUGGUGUAGCGGUGAAAUGCAUAGAUAUCACGCAGAACGCCGAUUGCGAAGGCAGCUUACCGGCGCUCAACUGACGCUGAGGCACGAAAGUGCGGGUAUCGAACA
rnacentral:rRNA from 1 species